GACGAACGCUGGCGGCGUGCUUAACACAUGCAAGUCGAACGGAGAGGCCCUGCUUUUGUGGGGUGCUCGAGUGGCGAACGGGUGAGUAACACGUGAGUAACCUGCCCUUGACUUUGGGAUAACUUCAGGAAACUGGGGCUAAUACCGGAUAGGAGCUCCUGCUGCAUGGUGGGGGUUGGAAAGUUUCGGCGGUUGGGGAUGGACUCGCAGCUUAUCAGCUUGUUGGUGGGGUAGUGGCUUACCAAGGCUUUGACGGGUAGCCGGCCUGAGAGGGUGACCGGCCACAUUGGGACUGAGAUACGGCCCAGACUCCUACGGGAGGCAGCAGUGGGGAAUAUUGCACAAUGGGCGGAAGCCUGAUGCAGCAACGCCGCGUGCGGGAUGACGGCCUUCGGGUUGUAAACCGCUUUCGCCUGUGACGAAGCGUGAGUGACGGUAAUGGGUAAAGAAGCACCGGCUAACUACGUG
rnacentral:rRNA from 1 species